GGCUUAUCUUAGCUUUGUCACUCAAUGAAAUUCACGAGAUGUGUACUAAUUCGGGUAUGCUUGCAAACAAUCCAACAUCAACUAACAAUAUAUUUACUUCAAUUAACUUCCUCAGUAUUUCAACUAAGUAAGAGUUAUUACUUAUUUACUGAGACCGAGGGAAACAGUGUGUUUUGUGGGUUAUCGCUCCAUGUUUCGCGCACCAAUAUAGGUUAGGGUUAGGGAUUAGGUACAUUACAUAACUUUUACUAUAUUGGUGCGCGAAACAUGGAACGAUUACCGUUUUGGGGGCCACAAAACACACUGCUUUCUCGAGGUCUCAGUAAAUAAGUGUUUGUUAUAUAGUAUAUAAGUGUCAAAGUAUAAAUAAUUCACCGGUUAUUGUAGGGAACUUAAUUUGAAACCAAAACUGGAUAAAUGGAACACCGUAAAUGUUUAAAAUAAAAAGUUUAAAAAAUGAACUUUGGAACUUCAUGGUUGACACGCAUGCGUAUUGCUUCCAUUUUAUUAUUGACCGGUCAAUAAAUGUUUCAUUGUGGACCGGUGGCCUCCUCGGAGGCUGCUCCGUUUACUGUUCGGAGUACUCCGGAUUUUCGGAACACCAAUUGAAUCGAACCUAAAACGGUCACAUGACUGUUCUGACUGCCCCUACUCAAAAGUAGGGGCAGCCAGAACAGUCAUGUGACCGUCAGAAUAGUCAUGUGACCAUUAUUGAUUCCAUUUAAUUAGUGUUUUGAAAAUCCGGAGUACUCCGAACAGUAAAUGGGGCAGCCUCCUGGUAAAGCACGCAGUGAACAUGACGUUUUGUGGACCGGCACGUGAUACGGUUUUGACCAAUCGGCAAACAGAAAAAUUGAACUUUGACACUAUAUAACAAUGAGUAUUAGAAGUAAUCAGACUGCAUAAUAGAGACUGUUAGAUAUUGAUGGAGAUUGUGAGAUAUUGAUUGAGAUUGUGAGAUAUUGAUUGCGGGAUAUUGUGAUGGUUAGAGAUUGUUUGAGUGUUUGUUAGCGAGAAAACAAAAAAUUGAAAACGAAAGUAUACAAUCCCAUUUGAAAUCUCGCGAAGAAAAUUUAUAACAUACAGCCUUGUACGUAUUUGUUUCGCAAACAAAUGUCUACUUUGGUUCCACGGAGGCUCAUAAAGAAUCGAACGGCGAUCGAAAGAAACGGCAAAACAGAAGAGCCUCUGGUCAAAUUGAUUGCUAAUCUCACUUGAUAUAGACUUGAUAAGGUUAAGAAUCUGAAAAUUUAAUUUGUUAUUGUACUGGAUUAAAAACUAUUUUACUGACAGCUUUAUUAGGAACAAUACCAGCUAGUUCCCAAACGAGACUAUAACCCAUGCAAGGCUAUACCCCCAUGCACCAAAAUAAAUUAAUUACAUAUUACAAUUACAAUUAAUAAAUUUUAUAGUUUACAACUCUUGAAAGUGCCUAUACACACUCCAUAUAGGUUGGACCUAAAUAUGGAGAUUAAAACAAAUUUAAAAACCUAAUUACACGUCUUGUGAAACGCGAAAACGUGCAAGCUGGAAAAUUAUUCAUUUUACAAAAUACUGGGCCCAACCAAUCGCAGGAUGUAAAGGCACCUCAACUCCUAUGCAUGACAAGCACAGUCUCUAACGAAACCUUCUAAAUGAGGCGAGACUAUUAAAACUAUUAUUCGGUGCAACUUUACAGAGUUCCACAUCCUAACAAUAGAUUAAAAUAUGAGGCUUUAAAAGAACUUUGUUUUACAAAGUGGUGUUUUUAAAACUAGAGUUGAAUUACUAUUAAGACGCGCCCGUCAUGCGUGAGUAACAAAUGAGACAUCGUCCAGUAGAUUUAGAUCAUAUAGACCACGAAGAGCUUUAUAGAAAAAUAUAAGGUCUCUUACUUCACGAUCAUAACACAGAGGUACAGAUGGAGAUUAGUUAGUCUGUCUUUGUAAGUAACGUCUCCCACCUUCACUCUAUAAGGAUCCAUCUAGUGGAACGCCUUUGCAUUUGUUCCAGUUUGAUUCUGGGAAACGAAUGGUGAGGAGACAGACUUCACUAGCGUAGCAAAGUUACUUCACGUGAGCCAAAUAUAGUGUUCGCUUUACCAUUACAUCCAUCAAGAGAGGACAGGUUCUCUUCAGCAACCCUAGCAUCCUAUUUCCUUUCGCAGUUAUCCUAUGAAUGUGGGAGUCCCAAAACAGGUUUUUUUAAAUUAAUACCCCGAGAUCUUUUUCUUGGUCAACGUUGACUAUGAGAAACUGGUUAAGGUGACAACGUUUCUUUCGAGUAAUUAACAUCACCUUGCAUUUGGAUUCGUUGAAAGAAAUAUUACUGGUACUCCAAUUCGUCAAAUUACACAAAGCUUGCUGUAGUUCUUGAGCAUCACAUUCGGAAGUUAUCCCUCUGAAGGCUUUGGUGUCGUCCGCAUAUAUAAGGCAACCUUCGUUUUUUGUGGAACGACAUUUGGUAGGUCUGUUUUCGACUUUUAAUAUAUUAUUAAAAUCCUGAAAAUGUGUUGUUAUCGUUUUAUCUUGGUCAAAAAAAUUUACAAAGAUUUAAAAACCCUGCAUUUUUUUAUCUACGCGCGUGGACGCAGAUAUAUUGCUGUCGUGUUAAUGUCGCGUGUGUAAGUUAAAUUUGUUAACCAUGUACGGUUUCUUAAUAAUGACGUAAUGCACACAGAAAAGCUGCAAAAUGGCGGCCAUCGAGGAGUGAGGAAGAGGUUAUUUCGCUGACCUCAGAGUGACAAAACGUAACAAAGCAACGGUUUUACUAACACUAAGUAAACACUAUUCCAAACACCAACUCUAUAACGACCCUCUAACUCUAACCAUAAUCCUAACCCUAACCCUAACCUAACUCUACUCCAAGUUUGUUUCUAAACCAAUCUUGAAGAAAAACGUUUUGACGAAAUGUCUCUGUCAGUGAACUAACCUUUUCCAAUCCGAGGAGUGAAGGUAACACUCUCCUCCGCAGAGCCGUAUAGUUAAACACAAAAGGUUAAACACGAAAGGCUAGCACAUUACGUGUUUUUCCGCGUUUGACUUUGACGUCAUUAUAAGAAAGGUCUAUUAUACGACUCUGCGGAGGAGUGUGAAGGUAAUAUUCCAAUAUCGCAACCUUUUCGCAAGUAGAAUCAACAAGAAACUGCGAGUUAUUAAACACGGAAUUGUGCGGUGCCUCCACAAUGUUUUCCAAAUUUUGUUAAAUAAAUUGAAAAAUUUCUUUCGAAAAUUAUUAAAAUCAAUGGCAUUGUACUAGCUGACAUCUAUUCUACCGACAAAAUUAGCUUCAGAACUAAGACGUUUGAAACGGGCCUCUUUUUCUCCAAGAAUCGAGUUUCUUUCGCAGGAAUACCGAAUUACUAUCUAUGUUGAGUUGGUUGCACGAGGUGCUCAGUACAAUCGGCGCAGAUACGUGCACGCCUAGCGUACCUAUUUUUAAAUGUUCAAAUCAUGCUGACUGUUGUAAACAUAUUUUGUGUUUCAAAGAAUGCUCUUGUUUUUAGCAAUAUGAUAACUUAUUGAUUGAGCUUGUUCGGGCCGGACAGUAGGAUAUUAUAAUCUCGAUCGUUCUUUUCUAAAAAUACAAACAAAAAAUGAACUCGACUAAUAUUCUACAGUCUGGACAUCUCGCUCAUUGCAGUCAAUACUAAUCAGUGGUGGCUUUCGGCAAUUCUGAUUUUCAAUAAAUUCCGAAAAUUGAAAACAGAAUUUUGUAGAACUUUCAGAACUCCGGUUGAUUAGCGCGAAUUCCCCACGUUUUUUCAUGACAUGAAAUGUUUUACCACAACGUGAGAAAACAUACCUUUGUAGAAAAAAUAUCCAAGUAUCUUAAACCUUUCCAUCACAUGCUCACUGUCUCAAUAUUCCCAACUUUUUUGACGUUGUCUAGUUUUUUAUGAAAAGAGGAAAUCACAAAUUUCCCACCUUUUUCGCGCUUACCACUUCGUUAACAAAACCCGCGAAAAGGUACCUUUUUCAAAUGGUACAACUGGUCUUACCUAGAGUGCCCCUCCCAUCAAGUGGUCAUGCAGACGUAGUUUUACAAAUUGCAAAGUGAUCGCACAGAGAGUUAUGGCGACUGUAACAUGGUGAUAGGGUCACUGAUCGUGAACGUCGGAAAUUUGUCCAUGAUUUUUAGCUUGAUGUUAAUGAUGAGUACUGUAUAUCUCACUUCGGAAGAAGGAGAAAUAAUUCUCCCCUCGGAAAAUAGAUUCUUUGAAAUUUCGAAUAGUUUUAUACUGUCAACGGAGAGCACAUAACCAACAAUCCCAGUGGUUAUCUCGGCCACUAAUUGGUUUGCCUAUUUCCUAUUAACCGUCAUCCUCUUUUGCACGGACAUCACUUAACCCUCCGCCAAGUCGAACAUCUUCGACAACGACGACACCUAUAGAAAGGCCAAGAUUCAGAGCCAACGAUAAAAUAAUUAAUGGUUUGAAGAAAUCAUUCACUGAAACCCCUUGUGACCCCUGGGAAAUUCUCCUUUAAAAUAUUACUUUUUGACCUCAGCAUGGAUUUUGAUGAUCCAUAAUAAUUGUAUAUUUCCAUACUAUGGAUAUAGUAUCGAAAUAGUAUGGAUAUACUACGGAUUUAGUGGUUCAAUUGUAAAUUUCAUAGUGUGGAUUUCACAUUUUUUCCCUAGUAGAACAGCAACAACAACAACGAGUUUUGGUGCAAAACUUAUAAAUUAACGAAUCAAUUUGCAAACGUCUGAUCACUUGAUGGGAGGGCCACUCUGGGUAAGGCCAGUGUGUGUAGCGUAUUAAUUACUGGCGUUAAAUGGUUCAAUUUCAAAAAGGUGCCUUUUUCGCGGCUUUUGUUAACGAAGUGGUAAGCGCGAAAAAGGUCAUGGGAAAUUUGCGAUUUCCACUUUUCAUGAAAAACUAGACAACCUAAAAAUUUGAGAAUAUUGAGACAGCGAGCAUGUGAUGGAAAGGUUAAAAAUACUUGGGUAUUUUUUUCUAAAAAGGUAUGUUUUCUCACGUUGUGGCAAAACAUUUCAUAUCAACCGGAGUAGAAAAGUAAAAUCCUGAAAGUUCUACAAAAUUCUGUUUUACAUUUUCGGAAUUUAGUGAAAAUCAGAAUUUCCGAAAGCCACCAUGCACUGAUUCAAUCUAAAUGUGUUGCGUGACCUUGCUUGACCACAGCCCUGACCGACAUACGUGUUAUAUCUACAACUUGAAACGAGCCGCUACUCAACGAUGCGUUUUGAAAAACAGGAGGAAUUGUUGUAGUGAAAAAAGGGGGACACGGGCACUUCUGGAAAAGCGGACAGGUUGUCAUCAUAGAAAUAUUAGAUCUAAUAUUUCUAUGGUUGUCAUAGACGCGUAGUUAUAGAAGAUGGACAGUUAUAAAACAGGGCCUUUUUUAACCGACAAGCUGGGGGGGGGGGGCAUUUGCCCCCCAGUCCCCCCUUGUGCCCCCCCCACGAAAUCACAUUUUGCCCCCCCCCCCCAGGAAAAGUCCCUUUUUCCUAAAAUUAUAGGCUACAAACAAUCCAGCGAAGAUUAACAAAUAGAUAAACGGAAAGUAAGUUUUAGGUUUUAUCCUUUGUUCUUGUUUAACAAAAU
rnacentral:lncRNA from 1 species